rnacentral:rRNA from 1 species
AUUGAACGCUGGCGGCAGGCUUAACACAUGCAAGUCGAGCGGGGGAAGGUAGCUUGCCACCGGACCUAGCGGCGGACGGGUGAGUAAUGCUUAGGAAUCUGCCUAUUAGUGGGGGACAACAUCUCGAAAGGGAUGCUAAUACCGCAUACGUCCUACGGGAGAAAGCAGGGGAUCUUCGGACCUUGCGCUAAUAGAUGAGCCUAAGUCGGAUUAGCUAGUUGGUGGGGUAAAGGCCUACCAAGGCGACGAUCUGUAGUGGGUCUGAGAGGAUGAUCCGCCACACUGGGACUGAGACACGGCCCAGACUCCUACGGGAGGCAGCAGUGGGGAAUAUUGGACAAUGGGGGGAACCCUGAUCCAGCCAUGCCGCGUGUGUGAAGAAGGCCUUAUGGUUGUAAAGCACUUUAAGCGAGGAGGAGGCUACUCUAGUUAAUACCUAGGGAUAGUGGACGUUACUCGCAGAAUAAGCACCGGCUAACUCUGUGCCAGCAGCCGCAGUAA